AAUUAGAAAGCAAAGAUUGCACUUAGCCUCGGCCUAACGCUUGGCCUAUAAAGGCCUCUAAUUU
rnacentral:tRNA from 1 species